GACGAACGCUGGCGGCGUGCUUAACACAUGCAAGUCGAACGGAAAGGCCCUGCUUUUGUGGGGUGCUCGAGUGGCGAACGGGUGAGUAACACGUGAGUAACCUGCCCUUGACUUUGGGAUAACUUCAGGAAACUGGGGCUAAUACCGGAUAGGAGCUCCUGCUGCAUGGUGGGGGUUGGAAAGUCUCGGCGGUUGGGGAUGGACUCGCGGCUUAUCAGCUUGCUGGUGGGGGAGUGGCUUACCAAGGCUUUGACGGGUAGCCGGCCUGAGAGGGUGACCGGCCACAUUGGGACUGAGAUACGGCCCAGACUCCUACGGGAGGCAGCAGUGGGGAAUAUUGCACAAUGGGCGGAAGCCUGAUGCAGCAACGCCGCGUGCGGGAUGACGGCCUUCGGGUUGUAAACCGCUUUCGCCUGUGACGAAGCGUGAGUGACGGUAAUGGGUAAAGAAGCACCGGCUAACUACGUG
rnacentral:rRNA from 1 species